rnacentral:rRNA from 1 species
AUGAACGCUGGCGGCGUGCCUAAUACAUGCAAGUAGAACGCUGAAGGAGGAGCUUGCUUCUCCGGAUGAGUUGCGAACGGGUGAGUAACGCGUAGGUAACCUGCCUGGUAGCGGGGGAUAACUAUUGGAAACGAUAGCUAAUACCGCAUAACAGUAGAUAUCGCAUGAUAUCUGCUUGAAAGGUGCAAUUGCAUCACUACCAGAUGGACCUGCGUUGUAUUAGCUAGUUGGUGAGGUAACGGCUCACCAAGGCGACGAUACAUAGCCGACCUGAGAGGGUGAUCGGCCACACUGGGACUGAGACACGGCCCAGACUCCUACGGGAGGCAGCAGUAGGGAAUCUUCGGCAAUGGACGGAAGUCUGACCGAGCAACGCCGCGUGAGUGAAGAAGGUUUUCGGAUCGUAAAGCUCUGUUGUAAGAGAAGAACGAGUGUGAGAGUGGAAAGUUCACACUGUGACGGUAUCUUACCAGAAAGGGACGGCUAACUACGUG